rnacentral:sRNA from 1 species
GCUGGGCACGGUGGUGAAAGCCUGUAGUCCCAGGUCCUCUGGGGGCAGAGGCAGGAGGAUCUCUUGAGCCAGGAGUUCUAGGCCAGCCUGAGCAACAUAGUGAGACCCUGGCUCUA